AAGUCGAACGAGGUUUCCGCUUCGGUGGGACCCAUUAGUGGCGCACGGGUGAGUAACGCGUGGGAACCUGCCCUGUGGUACGAAUAACUCCGGGAAACUGGAGCUAAUCCGUAUGUGUCUUGAGGGACAAAGUUUAUCGCCAUGGGAUGGGCCCGCGUAGGAUUAGCUUGUUGGAAUGGGGUAACGGCCUACCAAGGCUUCGAUCCUUAGCUGGUCUGAGAGAUGAUCAGCCACACUGGGACUGAGACAGGCCCAGACUCCUACGGGAGGCAGCAGUGGGGAAUAUUGGACACGAUGGGCGCAAGCCUGAUCCAGCAAUGCCGCGUGAGUGAUGAAGGCCUUCGGGUUGUAAAGCUCUUUCGCACGGACGAUGAUGACGGUAGCGUGAGAAGAAGCCCCGGCUAACUUCGUGCCAGCAGCCGCGGUAAUACGGGGGGCUAGCGUGUUCGGAAUUACUGGGCGUAAAGGGCGCGUAGGCGGUACUUCAAGUCAGGCGUGA
rnacentral:rRNA from 1 species